rnacentral:lncRNA from 1 species
GUAUUGCCUGCUGAUUUAACCCUUGUAGUAGGAACAAAAAGAGAAUGCGAUGCAAAUGAAAUCUCGUCUUUAGCCUCUCCAGUCUCCGCCUUUUGUUGGACUCGUAGCCUUUGCUUUCUCUCAGAAUCUCUCAACCAUGUGGCUUGUCAUUCUCGAACCACAUCUCCCUCUGCAAGAUCUUAUUUCUCAAAUGCUGGAAAAAAAACCAUUAACAAAUCAUUACCUGAAUUAACAGCAUAGCAUCCAAAUAGAAUUAGAUAAUCUAUGAAUUGCAAUUCCUUUAUUACUUUUAUUUUGUAGACCAAAAUGAUACUGUGGAAAUACAUCAGAUUAAUGGCUAGGG